rnacentral:misc_RNA from 1 species
GAAAUGCGAUAAGUAAUGUGAAUUGCAGAAUUCAGUGAAUCAUCGAAUCUUUGAACGCACCUUGCGCUCCUUGGUAUUCCUUGGAGCAUGCCUGUUUGAGUAUCAUGAAAUCUUCAAAGUAAAUCUUUUGUUAACUCAGUUGGUUUCUACUUUGGUAUUGGAGGUCUUUGCAUCUUCACACCUGCUCCUCUUUGUUCAUUAGCUGGAUCUCAGUGUUAUGCUUGGUUCCACUCGGCGUGAUAAGUUAUCUAUCGCUGAGGACACUGUAAAAGGUGGCCAAGGUAAAUGCAGAUGAACCGCUUCUAAUAGUCCAUUGACUUGGACAAUACUUUUAUGAUCUGAUCUCAAAUCAGGUAGGACUACCCGCUGAACUUAAGC